rnacentral:rRNA from 2 species
UCCAUUUUGAAAGCUCUUCGGAGCGUUGUAGAUUGGUGGGAAGCUAACGGCUGGUGGGAGACCAAGUCCUCUGGAACGAGGCGCCAUAGAGGGUGAGAGCCCCGUGUGUCUCCUUUACCGACCUUUCAGCCCCCUCCGCGGAGUCGAGUUGUUUGGGAAUGCAGCUCUAAGUGGGUGGUAAAUUCCAUCUAAGGCUAAAUAUUGGCGAGAGACCGAUAGCGAACAAGUACAGUGAUGGAAAGAUGAAAAGCACUUUGAAAAGAGAGUGAAACAGUACGUGAAAUUGUUGAAAGGGAAGGGUAUUUGGCCCGACAUGGGUCCUAUGCACCGUUGCCUCUCGUGGGCGGCGCUCUGCUUGGGCCUGGGCCAGCGUCAGUUUGGAGGGGGCGAGAAGGGUUUUGGUUAAAAACGGGAGCAAUUCCCCUUUGCUAGAUUGCCCCACACCGGACUGAGGACCGCCAUCUGUA